rnacentral:rRNA from 1 species
GUACGGGAGGCAGCAGUGAGGAAUUUUGCGCAAUGGGGGAAACCCUGACGCAGCAACGCCGCGUGAGUGAUGAAGGCUUUCGGGUCGUAAAGCUCUGUCAGUGGGGAAGAAAUGGAACUGGUUAAUACCCAGUUUUCUUGACGGUACCCACAAAGGAAGCACCGGCUAACUCCGUGCCAGCAGCCGCGGUAAUACGGAGGGUGCAAGCGUUGUUCGGAUUUAUUGGGCGUAAAGCGCGUGUAGGCGGUUUCUUAAGUCCGAUGUGAAAGCCCUGGGCUCAACCCAGGAAGUGCAUUGGAUACUGGGAGACUUGAAUACGGGAGAGGGUAGUGGAAUUCCUAGUGUAGGAGUGAAAUCCGUAGAUAUUAGGAGGAACACCGGUGGCGAAGGCGGCUACCUGGACCGAUAUUGACGCUGAGACGCGAAAGCGUGGGGAGCAAACAGGAUUAGAUACCCCGGUAGA